AACUAUUUACUGGUUUAACAAGUUUAAUAUCAUUAAAGGUAUACUGAGUCUGACCCAUAGACUGUAUAAAAACAGGUCUGACCGCGUGUAUUAACCAGUCAGACCGCUUGGCAGUCUGCGUCAGUUGAAGGCGGGGCUCGUGUUUGUCGGAUAGCUGGAGAAGUGUUUGGUAACCUGCCUUGAAAGCAUCUGUCGGUUAAAAUAUGACUUAAUCACUCACCUUACGCUUGGAGCAUGGUUUGUGUUUUUAACCUCCGGUUUGAUGCUUCUCUUCAGGGGCUAAAUAUGAAGAAGAGAGAUGGAUGGAGAGCUGGUGAAGUCUCUAGCGAUAUCUGCUGGUCAUAGUGGAAGCUGCAGAACUGAUGAUGGACUGCAAAUGAGGAGAGGAAGAUGAUUUCAUCAGUGGAAAUAGUCUGAAGAAACCGUGUUUCCUCUUCUCUUAAAUCAGAGGUUCUGUAAGAGGCCUUGAAGCUGACGACAUCACUGUCUUCAAAUAAAGGUAAUUCAUUUAUUAUGCCCUUAAUGAGUUUACUCUUAUAAUGUAUGUUGACUAUAAUAAAUAUAACAUUCUGCAUGCAAGUAUAACAUACUUUGUUUGUUUGAUUUAUUAACGUAACACCUACUUUUCAUGAUCAAGUCAGGUUUUGAAGGGAAAAAAUCAAGCCCCAUUCUAUGUUUUUUCUUAUUAAAUAUCCAAUUUCAAAGGGAAAUACGUCACAUUAUAGAAGUAAAAUGGGUUGCCAGUGGUGACCUAAAACAACCAACCUUUUUUUUUUUUUAAGUGACUCAAACGUAACUGCAGAAUCUACUAAAAUGAUAACAAUUGUUUUUUAAGCAUCUGAAGACACCGAAGACUGGAUUAAUGAUGCUGAAAAUUCAGCUUUGCGUCACAGGAAUAAAUUACAUUUUACAAUAUAUUCACAUAGAAAAGAGUUUCACAAAUUACUGUUUUUACUUAAUAAAUUUAUUACAAAAAUCAGCCAGCAGUGUACAUAAAGCUAGACCUAUACAUUAAAAUAUAGGCUGUAGAGUCUGCUGAAGAUGCUAUUGUCAUCUAUAUUAACAGACUGAGUUUGAAAAUAACUUCAAAAUAACCCACAGUUGUAAUUUUCCCAAAAUAAAAA